rnacentral:rRNA from 1 species
GAUGAACGCUGGCGGCGUGCUUAACACAUGCAAGUCGAACGAAGCACUUAAGAUUGAUUCUUCGGAUGACGUCUUUUGUGACUUAGUGGCGGACGGGUGAGUAACGCGUGGGUAACCUGCCUCACACAGGGGGAUAACAGUUAGAAAUGACUGCUAAUACCGCAUAACCCGAUAGGAUCGCAUGAUCCAGACGGAAAAGAUUUAUCGGUGUGAGAUGGACCCGCGUCUGAUUAGCUAGUUGGUGAGGUAACGGCCCACCAAGGCGACGAUCAGUAGCCGGGCGGGGAGGGUGAACGGCCACAUUGGGACUGAGACACAGCCCAGACUCCUACGGGAUGCAGCAGUGGGUAAUAUUGCACAAUGGGGGGAACCCUGAUGCAGCGACGCCGGGAGAGUGAAGAAGUUUGUCGGUAUGUAAAGCUCUAUCAACAGUGAAGAUAAUGACGGUACCUGACCAAAAAGCCCCGGCUAACUACGUG